rnacentral:ncRNA from 1 species
UUCCAAUAGGUUGUAGCUUUAAUAUUUAUUUUAUGUGUGUAAGAGAUUUGGGGUUUUAUUUUUACAAUAAUGUGAGUUUGAUCCUUGCUUAUUUUUUGUUUUUUGUUUAAAGCACAUGUAAAGAAAUUUGAAGGAGUUAUAAAAUUAAAAUAAAACUUUGUGAUUCUCAGUGUUAGAUAUUAAGAAAUAAAAUAAAUUUUUAAUUAGUAAAACAAUUAAAUUCAGGCUAAAUUUGUGCCAGCAGCUGCGGUUAGACUGAUAGUGUGAACAAAAAAUUAUAAGUUAAAUAAUUAAAGGAGUUUGAUGGGGAAAUUUACUAUAAAAGUUAAAGGUGAAAUUUGGUGUUUGAGUGUAGUAAGUUUGUUUAUCAAGAGUUCUUGAGGUUAUAAAAUUUUAGAUCUAAAUCAGGAUUAGAUACCCUGUUAUACUAUCUUUCAAUUUAAGGAUACUUGAGUAGUAAACAGUUAUGUUCUCGAAACUUAAAGGAUUUGGCGGUAUUUUAGUCUAGUUAGAGGAACCUGUUCUAUAAACGAUAAACCACGAAGAAUCUUACUCUUUUUUGUAAAUCAGUUUGUAUACCGUCAUUAUUAGAUAAUCUUUAUAAAGAAUUAUUAAAAUAAGUAUUUUAGUAUAUUAGAUCAAGGUGCAGCCAAUAAGGGAGCAAGAAAUGGGUUACAAUGUUAUUGAUAUAAACUGGGAAGAAGCUGAAAAUUUUUUUGAAGGUGGAUUUAAUAGUAAUAGUCUUUUAAUAAGGGAUUAUGAUAAUAGCUCUAAGAUAUGUACACAUCGCCCGUCGCUCUCACUCUUAAUGUGAGAUAAGUCGUAACAUAGUAGAUGUGUUGGAAAAUGCAUCUAGAAUUAGGCUU